UGGGGAAUUUUGCACAAUGGGGGGAACCUUGAUGCAGCGACGCCGCGUGAGGGAUGGAGGCCUUCGGGUUGUGAACCUCUUUCGCCCGUGUGCAAGCCGCCAUUUGGGUAGUGGUGAGUGUAGCGGGUAAAGAAGCGCCGGCUAACUACGUGCCAGCAGCCGCGGUAAUACGUAGGGCGCGAGCGUUGUCCGGAUUUAUUGGGCGUAAAGGGCUUGUAGGCGGUUUGUCGCGCCUGUCGUGAAAUCCUCUGGCUUAACUGGGGGUGUGCGGUGGGUACGGGCAGGCUUGAGUGCGGUAGGGGAGAGUGGAAUUCCUGGUGUAGCGGUGGAAUGCGCAGAUAUCAGGAGGAACACCGGUGGCGAAGGCGGGUCUCUGGGCCGUUACUGACGCUGAGGAGCGAAAGCGUGGGGAGCAAACAGG
rnacentral:rRNA from 1 species